GGUAGUUCAGGGUGAGGAAGUGCUCUGUGUGGAAGUUCAGGGUGAGGAGCUGCUCUGUGUGGAAGGUCAGGGCAAGCUGUGGCUUCUGUUUGUUCAGAGGCUCAAGUACAUUUUCUAAGCAGUCAGUACUUCCGUUCCUACUGAGAAGAGAGGUGUCAUUCCUGGAAGACCACUGUGGGUUGGCACCACUUUUAGACCAUUAAAAGAGACUUGUGUGAGCUGGGACUGCCAAGAACUCCUGCAAUCCAGCACUCAGCAGGUAGAAGCGGAGGAUCGGGAGUUCGAGGCCAUCCUCAGCUACGGGUCAAGUCUGAGGCCAUUUAAGCUACUCGAGACCCCGUCUCAAAUAAAAUGAAAAGCAAAACAAACAAACGAAACUGCACCCCAAACAGAAGUGAAACAAGAGGAGACUGUGGUCAUGCAGAAGGCAGGCCCUGAGGUCUGUGUGCCUGUUCUGGGUAUAUGACAGAUGCUAAUCUCAGGCAUGCGGCGAAGGGAAGGUUAAAGCCAGGAGGGCUGGCUCUUUCUCUCAGACUGAUUUUUCAAUCCAUGGCAUAAAAAUAUUUUUCUUUACCCACUAGUAAAAUAACUCUGCUAUGCAAAUGUUUCUGUGAACAAAGCCAGGUUGAAAUGCAGGAAGAAACUAAGGCCUACGACUUCCAGCGUGAGGUGGUAUGGUGAGAAGCUUCAGAAUUGCAAGGAACAGACUCCAUUCUUGGGGAGCGGGGAGGGUGUACGUAGAGAUCGGAAGAGUCUAGAUGCUCACAGAGCCAAGGACAGAGAGGAUAAAAGUCUGUGAGAGCAGAAAGCCAACACGGCAAACGGACAGGUUGUAUGGAAUUCCAGUCUUGGCUUCCCGGUGGAGGGAGAGGAACCAGAAGCCACAUCUAAAGAAAUUGUAAGGCAGGUGGCACAGGUGAAGAGAUACAGAUCACUCAGCUGACAGGAGGAGCCACAGCUCUCUCUAACAAUGAAUCCACUUGAGGAUCUUGGUAAGACAAUGACUGCACCAGGGGAACGGGCUGGCAGUAGAGAGGUCCGGGUGGUGCCUCUGUGAGAGGCUUAAGACAGAGCUACCCUGUGGGCUCACAGCUGAGGAACCUGGUGGUCAGCCAUCCUGGGAGAGAGCUGCAGGACAGUGGGACAGGGUAAGAACCUGACACCAACACGACACACACCAGAAAGUGCAGGCGGCAGGACACCAGCCAGGCACUGAAGGCAUCCUGCACUCAGCCCCUACCUUGGUGUCAAGGACCCUGUUACCUGAGGAUAAAUGUGGACCCAACGCUCCCUCAUGUCAGAGGACAGCACAGCCUCUUCUGCUCGCACAUGGACCUCUGAAGCACCUGACUUCCACGGUCUCAUCCCUCCAGGAGGAAGGUGGGUAGUGUUCAGUGGGCUUUGAAAACAGUGGAGCCAUUAGCCCCUCUGUAUAGCUCUCAGGACUCAAACUGUACUCCUCCUCCACUCCAGGCACACUCGGGAGGAUGACCCCUGGCUAUAAAACUAGUCACUCCCCAAAGUGUGACAUUUGGAGUCUUGGAAGCUUGGGCAAACCUGCACUGGCCCAGAGACUGCAAAACUAAGUGUGACCAGUAGAGGCUCCUGGUACACAAAGAAAGGAAGUAAGUAAAGCUACUCCUGUCAGACAUCUCAGCAGCAGCCUAAAUGACAGAAAAGACAAGAGUCCUCCAGUUAGGCUGACCCCACGCUGCCUCAGCUGGCAGAUUCCAGUUUGGAGGGAGUCAUUGGGAUGGACUGUGUCUUGCACAGCCUAACUUCAUUUUUCUUCUUGACUAAAGGCUAGUGAGAUUC